UACAUGAAGAGGCUUGACUGUAACACUCAAUUUGAUGAUGAAUGCAUUGAAUUGAUAACUGGUUUAUUUUUUUGCAGCAAUUCACCUACGGUUCAACGUUUUCAAAGCGGUUUACCAGUAAAUGCUGGAAUGUUACCAUUAGCCUAAAAGUGAAGAAGAUUAAGUUUGUGAGAGAAAAUUGAAAACAUGAAUGAUCCAGAGCCCUGCAGAAUAAAACAGGAAGAUAUUGAACAACAAAUAGACCUGAUGGAAGAGACCAAGGAGAUUGAAGAACAUCAGGUCAAAACUGAAGAGAUAUCCUGGAGUUCCUCAUUGAAAAACGACAAUAUAUGUUUCACUUGCUUUCACUGUGGAAAGAGUUUCUCAUGCAAGCGAAAUCUUGAGCUUGAGAUAAUAUUUCAUUUUGGAGGGAAGCCAUAUGCAUGUGAUGAGUGCGAGAAGAUUUUUACAAUUAAAGGAAACCUUAUUGAA